CAGCUUAAAUCCAGCCAAACUGGAGAUGGACUCUCGUGUUGAUUGGAGGAGUGUUUGCCUACUAUACAUGAAGCCCCGAGUUUGAGCCCAAUACUUCAUGCACAUGGAGGCAGGAGGAUCAGAAGUUCAAGGAGCAAGCCACCACGCCCAACUUACCUCAUCCAUGAGAAGGGAGUAGUAACUCUAGAAUCUGCUGUGUAAGGCUGCCGUGAGAAGCUCAUCAGCUUGCAGGAAGCCUCAGUAAAUGGACUCUGUGUGUA